rnacentral:rRNA from 1 species
CAUGUCUUUUUGAUUAUAAUUUAAAGUUUGACCUGCCCUCUGAGGAGUUGAAUGGCUGCGGUAUUUUGACCGUACAAAGGUAGCAUGAUAAGUAGUUUUUUUAUUGAAAGCUUGUAUGAAAGGUUCGACAAGAACUCAGCUGUCUUCAUUAUAAAUAAAUAAAAUUUAACUUAAUAGUUAAAAGGCUAUGAUGUUUUAAAAAGACGAGAAGACCCUAUAGAGUUUAAUUUUUUUAAGAUUUAAUAAUGGUGGUUUAUAAAUUAUUAAAUUAAAAAAGGAAUUUUGUUGGGGUGAUAUAAAGAUUUAAUAAACUCUUUUUAUGUUUAACAUUGAUUUAUGGAUAAAUUGAUCUAAUUUUUUAAUUAAUAGAUAAAAUUACCUUAGGGAUAACAGCAUAAUUUCUUAUAAAGUUCAUAUUUACAUAGGAGAUUGCGACCUCGAUGUUGGAUUAAAAUUAAAUUUU